AAACAGUGCUUUUCUAUUUAAAUUUAAUCUGGGUCCUUGAGAAUGAGUUUCGCUGAUCCUUUUGUAACCCUGGAGACUUACCUCGAGGCAAACUUCGAAUGUGGGAGGAAAUGUUGCUGAGUUCACUUGUCUCCAGUGCUCGCCGCAGGAGACCUCGGGGAGCGUUCCAGAGAAGUGUUUGUUCCCGGUGUUUCUAGAGCGUGUGCCGUGUGCUGUGUGUCCUGUACAGCACAAAACCGAGGGGCCGAAUUCCUGCACCCCGGAGCUUCCGUUCCAGUGGGAGACGGACAGUCCACCCACAAACGGUCACGGAGCAGAGAACUAAAGGAAGUGGUGGUUGAGCUAAGAUGACGUCCCAGCAGAGUUCCAGGUGGAGGGAACGGUGCAUGCAAAGGCCCUGGGGCAGCAGCAGCUGGGGCAGUCAAGGAAUAGCAAGAAGAUGUGAAUGGGGAGGAGCGGAAGGAGAGGAGCUCAGCUUUAGAGGGACCUCGGAGCCCGUGCUGCAGGUGAACAACACAGGGACUCGACACUUAUUUACACUGCAAAGGGAUCAGCUGGUAACACUAGCUCCCAUCUGUCACCGUGAAGUUCCUGCACGGUUGGUGACUGCGUCCCCCACGCCACGCGCUCCGGCCCUGGACUGACUCACGGUGACGGGGGCCGUGCCUCUGGGGCCCCGCGCCCACCCCACCCUUCCCCGCCCCGCGACCACCAGUUUGUUCUCCGUGUGUAUGGGCCUGUUUCAGUUUCGUGUUAUUUGCCGGUUUAUUUUGUGUUUCUAGAUUCCCCGUGUAGGUGAAAUCACACGUCCUGUGUCCCCGGGACGUCCCAGCAGAGAGGGGACAAGCUUCCGUCGUGCUGGGUGCUGCCUGGAGGUGGCGGCCUCGACGCACGUGGGAGGUAGACCCGUCGGGUGUACCAACUGCCUGGAAGCAGGGACACCCGAAGGCUCUGAGCUGCAAGUGAAAAGCUUAGACCCCCGUAAGCGACGUUUAUCAGGCCACCGAGGCGGGGCGGCAGGUGCAGAGCCCGUGCUUCUGGGCCAGGGCCGGGCUGCAGGGCCGAGUUCAGGCCUCACGGGGUGGCCGGGUGCACAGCCCGUGGGCCUGGACGGGGCUGCCGGGAGCCGGGGCACCGUGUGGAACGGGCACUCGCGGCCGAGCCAGCUCGGGGUUGGGGCUCAGAGCUCAGGAGCCGCGGUUGGCGCCCUGGGUCCGCGUCAGCUCCCCUCUCCCUCCCGGGGACCGGGGGCCAGUGUCCUAACCGCCCUCCGCCUCUAUGUCCCCGUCUCGAAAUGGGACUAGCCCGGGCAGCAGGUGCCUCGUGUGAGCGAGGGUGACGGGAGGUGGUGACGGCAUGCGGGAAGCCCGGUUCGUGGUGCCCGGCCUCCCCAGUCCAGCUCCACCCGCUGGGGGCGCGGGCCUCGCAGGCGGCCUGCACGGAGGGGAAGGGGCUCCAGUCGGAGGCAGGAGCCACUCUGGGGUCAGAGCGUGCUCGGGGCCAGGAGACGGAGCAGAGGGAAGCGGAGGCCAGAGGCAGCUGGGGGCCAGCAGGCCUGGUCAGGGGCCGAGCUGGCUGCCAGGCCCUGUCUCUGGGGCUUCAGUGACCGGGAGCCACAGAGAGUGUCCAGUGGGGAGUGACAAGGCCAGCAGCAGCUCACUCUUCAAACCUGGCGUGUGCCAAAUGCCCAGCAUGUGCUGCCGACUGAGUCAGGUGAAGGGGCUCAUUGUUCAGAUGGCCCUUGAGCCUUAGUCCUGCCCACCCUUGUCCCAAUCUUAGCCACCAUUGCCCAUGUGGCUGUCUCGUGAGCGUUUACAAGAGAUUUGGGGACAUCGUUGUCUCAUGUGACCCUCGUGUUGAGGGUCAUGAAACAGAGGUGGGACAUGGGAAGGAUCUGAAAAGAGUUUGGAAUGAGGCUGAGAGAGGUUAAGUAACUUUCCAAAAGUAACACAGCAAGCAAAUAGGGCAGCAGAGUAUAAACUCGAGUCAGCAUCUCCCAGGAUGGAAGACCAGGGACUGUGAGGAGCCCACCCGGGGCAAGGAGAGCAGCCCCCAGCCAUUAAGCACCUACUGUGUGCCCGGCCUGGUGCGACUCAUGGACAGACACCUUUGUACUUCAUUCUGCCCAUGGGCACACUGACUCCCAGUUACAGGUGAGGAAACUGAGGCUGGGGGGUGGGGCUUGUCCAGGUGCCUUGGAGCCUGGGUCCACUGGGGCCUACCAAGCUCCUGCUGCAUCUAGGAAGCCCGCCCCGUCCGUCCGUGACUGGAGACCCCCUGGGAGGCAGCGUGGGUCCUGGAGGGGAUGCUAGCCUGGGAACUGACGGCUCCUGCUGGCGCAGUGGCCCCAGGCAUGUCUCCUGUCCUCAUCUGUGUGUUGGGGGGUUAUGUCGACCUUCUGGGCAGUUGUGGGGUACGGCAGCCCUGCCACCAAGGCCGGUGCCCAGUGGGGUGGUUCUCUUGUGCAGGCACAGACCCGCCCUCCCCACCCAGUUCUUCCUUUUCAAAGUCCAGCUCUGCCCCCAGCUGUGGGAACCAGGGAUGACCCUGCGCCCCGUUGCUGGGGCUGGAAGAUGGGGUCAUGGUGGUGAGUACCCCAUGCGGUUGUUGUGAGGAUGGAAUGAGCACACGUGGGCGUGAGCCAGUCCAGGUGUGUACCUGCCUCCAUCCUGAGGACACCUGAGCCCCACUCACUGCUGCUCCACCUGCCGUGAGGCCUUCUCCUCCCUGCCUGCCCAGCCCCCCAUCCUCCCGCAGCACCUCCUCCACCAGGCCUCCCUGAUUGCCCCAAUUGGCCCUGGCUGGUCUGGUUCUCUGCGGACCCUGCUGGGAGGGGAGAUCACUUGCCCCUCCUGUGUCCCCAGCACCUCGAAGGGGGCCAGAGAUCCAAGAGGCGCUCACUUGAGGGACGAUUAAUGAGUGAACAGAGCUGGCUCAGGGAUGUCGCCAAGGGGAGGGUAGGGGCCCCAGCCCGGGGCGUCCACACAGCCUCCCUGUGCCCAGUGACAGAGCAGCCCCUGAGCUCACUCCCUUCUCCAUCGCCCUCUGCAGAGCAGACUCAGCAGGAUCGAUACCCCGAGGCCCGCUGACCCGGCACUGGCUGUGAGAACCGUCAGACCUGAGCUGAGGGUGCACGCCAGUCCCCAGACGCGGGUCCAGAGCCUGGCUCCUCGCUUUUGCCGCUGUGGCCCAGGCAAAGCCUUGGGGCCCCUGAGCCCCUGCUGCCCCAUCUGUAAAAUGGGGGUGGUUAACCCGACCUCCUGGGCAGUGGGGAGGGUGAAGCAAGCACCGUCCCUGACGCGCUGAGCAGAGGGCUGGCACGCGGGCUCGAUCGGCCGCUGUGGGUGGUGGCUAAGAAGCACCCGGACCCCGGCCCUGUACCGGCCCUGGCUGAUGUCGCGUCCAGCCUUGCUGUCGAGGGGCUUGUGGCACAUUUGGGAAGAUGCACGGGGGGCACCCCCGCCCUAUCACGGCGCAGCCUCCCUUGAGGUGCACGUGGGGCUGGAGGAGCCUGGCGGGGCCCUCACAGGGUUGACAUCAGGGACGGCCCCUGGAGGAUGCGUGUGGGGUGGCCAGCGGGGCCCGAGCUGGCCGCUCCAGCCAGAACGAGAGCAUUCCAGAGGCUGGCAGCCCAGCAAUCACAGCCGUCCGGGCGCUGAGCGGCGGAGGCCGGACACGGGGCGGGGGACCACUGGGUCCUGCCAAAGCCCUGGGGAAUUCUUUUCUGAGGGUGACAAGGAGCGUUUGGAGAUUUUUAAGCAGAGAAACGGC
ensembl:lncRNA